UGAGGAAUAUUGGGCAAUGCCCGCAAGGGUGACCCAGCAACGCCGCGUGGAGGAUGAAGGCCGUAAGGUUGUAAACUCCUGUUAGAGGAGAAGAACAGUACCGAUUGGAUCGGUAUUUGACUGUACCCUCAGAGAAAGCCCCGGCUAACUACGUGCCAGCAGCCGCGGUAAUACGUAGGGGGCAAGCGUUGUCCGGAUUUACUGGGUGUAAAGGGCGCGCAGGCGGAAUAGCAAGUCAGAGGUGAAAUCCUACAGCUUAACUGUAGAACUGCCUUUGAUACUGUUAUUCUUGAGUUCGGGAGAGAGAGACGGAAUUCCAGGUGUAGUGGUGAAAUACGUAGAUAUCUGGAAGAACACCAGUUGCGAAGGCGGUCUCUUGGUCCGAUACUGACGCUGAGGCGCGAAAGCGUGGGGAGCAAACAGG
rnacentral:rRNA from 1 species